GCUUUGUCAUUAAUGGAUAAAAAGACUUUCUGAGCCAAACUCAGCCAGUGUUUCCUACUCACCAUCUAAUUGUUUCAGAAAGCGUGGUCUCGUCCUGGAGUUACAGCAGGAAUUCUGACCAUCCACUAUGACAGCCAGAGGCCACAAGGCAACCAGGGAGGAAGGCUCUCCUCUGCGACACGUGAAAAGUCCAGCUGAUGUCCAUUCUCCCCUGUGCAAGUCAUUAGCACACAGAGCCACCAAUGUCAAGUCCUUCCACUGACCACACACCAGAUCAUCAAGUAAAUCUUCUGCAAGGCCUGCUACAGCAACAAAGGAAGGGAGAAUUAUACUGGCAGGGUGAUGGCACAGCAUCCCAGAUGCUACAAACAGCGGGAGUAAAUGGAACACGACAUUUCUUCCCCAGCACUGGGCGGAGGAGGCUAUUAGUAAAUUGACUAAGAGCUCACACACGCCUGGAGCAGCAGCAGUGAGAUCUCCACUGCUGGGCCAACCUUUGGUUUUUAAAUACA
rnacentral:lncRNA from 1 species